AGCCUGGUGGUGUAAUGGUAACACACCUGUUUCACAUGGGUAAGGAGAUAUCGUUCUUGGCAGGAGAUUCCUUGUUCGACUCAAGGCCAGGCCA